UGGAGAACAACGGAGACCAAUUGGUCUGUGCCACGUAAGGGCUAAAAUUUUAAACUACUACGCCGCGAUGCAGGGGAAAAUUCCUGCCGAGAACAACGCUCGCACACCCAUUUUCUGUCUCUCUGUGUCUCAAACUGAAAUCCUCUCUCUCUCUCUAGUCUCUCCCUUUCACAAACCCUAACAUUACCAGCUAAAUCUGAAUCUUCUGGGCUGGCCAUAGAGUACUGCAAGCAAGCAACACGCAGAGAUCAAAUUCCUGGGACCCCAAGUUCGUCAAGGUCGACCACCAUUUUCGAUUAUUCUGCUUGAAGUUGUACGUGAACUAUUAGUUGAAGACUUACAAACUGGGGACCGGUUGGAGGCUCUCAUUUAUCCAGCCAUAUAUUUGAAGUCGAUAAACACAGGGCAAAUUCCUUGCUUUGAAGGUUGGGGUCAUCACUGGCCAAACAGGCAUGCUGAGAUUUCCCCAUGCCUUCGGUGGAAGUUCACAACUUUCGGUUGGAAAGUGGCUUCCAAUAGCUAGCUCUGCAAACAUAAUACUCUCUAGAUCAAAUGUAUCCUACCCACCUCCAUUAAGAGAAUGAAAAACAAAAUGAUAGAACAGCUUCAAGGGUGAAUUACUUCCUUCGGCCAAGAACAAUGCUUUGGGGAAAAUAUAAUAUAUCGCAAGAGCUUUGAUCUUGUUGUCUUCAGAUGGUUUGGUAUAAGACGAACAGUUCUUUCAUUUCUUAUUCAUAAUUUGUUUUGCAACAGAAAAAUCCUUGCCUAAAGAAGCAUAUGAUUUUGCAGUUGUUCCUAAAAUCUUUAAGGUCUCUUGCCUACAUAGUUUAAUGAAUUGUACCAAUUGGUAGUGCAAUUGAUAUGAGCAGGCAGCCUGCCUGCUUAGAGGAUUCGUACAAACACGAGAUGAGUUAAUGACAGUGGAGAUGAAGGCUUGUUAGGAUGGAGAUAAAGGUUUAUUUGGAGCCGUUGAAUAGCUGGACAGAACUGCGCUUUUGAAUAUUUAGACAGAUGUUGAAUAUCUGGAUACAUUCCAAUGUUUAAUAUUUUUUGUCAUUAAGCUUUUGGCUAUUGUGCAAUCUUCUCCAAUGUGUAUUGCAGAUAUAUUGUGCAAUCUGAGAGCAAUCUAAUAUAAUGGCUAAUGGAGCUGCUGAUA